rnacentral:rRNA from 1 species
ACCGGCAGCUCAAGUGGUGGCCAUUAUUAUUGGGCCUAAAGCGUUCGUAGCCGGUUUGAUAAGUAUCUGGUGAAAUCCCGAAGCUUAACUGUGGGACUUGCUGGAGAUACUAUCAGACUUGAGGUCGGGAGAGGUUAGGGGUACUCCCAGGGUAGGGGUGAUGUCCUAUAAUCCUGGGAGGACCACCUGUGGCGAAGUCGCCUAACUGGAACUAACCUGACGGUGAGUAACGAAAGCCAGGGGUGCGAACCG